GGCCCCUUAGUCUAGUGGUUAGGACGCUUGGUUCUCAGCCAAGAAUCAGGGGUUCGACUCCCCUAGGGGCUACCA
rnacentral:tRNA from 1 species